GGUCUGCUUUGCCUGAGUCCAUCAACAGCUGGGAGAUUAAUCAACCACACUGAAAAUGA
rfam:Tarsius syrichta cont1.305837, whole genome shotgun sequence.